UUGGCUUACAUUGAUCUACUAGUCUACCACUGUAGAAACGCAGAGAAUAAUAGAGGGUGGUUUAAUAUGGACUUACCGACAAUAAUAACAGAUGCAAAUGAUGGAUUCAAGAUUGCAGGAAAUAAACGACAUUAAAUAUCUCUGGAAUGAAAAUGGCUGAUUUAUUUUGAUGUAUGAAUACGUGAAGAGGUCAAUAACUUCAAUAUAGGGGUCAUGGGACAUCAAAUAUUGCAUGUUACAGAUGAAUAUUUAUCUGGUUGAAUUCAUAUGAAUUUGUCAGUUCUGUGGGUUCCAAAACUCGGCUGUAACAAAUCAAGUUGGCUUUUCCAAAGAUAAGACGAAUAUUGUAGACCUGCUGUUCCUUCUUCAAUUACUUAUAAGGAGACAAAAGAAUAUUGGCUGUCGUGAUGCUAAAAUAUCAUACCUACUCGAUAGAUGGAUCCUUUCAGUUAAGUGACUGAACACAUUGUCUCUUCACUUAUAAAAUCAGCAGCGUAAACAUUUCCAUUAGACAUCAUACCCACUUUAUUAACCGUUUGCCUGAAUAAAACUAUUGCCAGUAUCAGUAAUAUAAAUGAGUAAGUUUGAAUUAGCGAACGUCACACCUGUACACAGAUUUAUCGCUUCCGGGCGUAAUCUCUUAAACAUACAUUAUGGAAGAGCUAAAUCUGCCUAUUGCAGGCCUAAAUUAUUAAUUAGACAUUAAGUAAAUUAUCCAGAUCAUAAUCAACUCUCGAUGUCAUCGCUAGAUUGCGAUGUUUAUUGGAUUAGGUUCCGAUUUGCUGUUUGACUUCCAUUCAUGAUUUAAUCAUGAAAUGGAUAAUCGAGACUAUGUUUUUUUAUCGUCCCGACUUUAGUAAUGAUGAUCGAGGCUAGGCCGAAAAUUCAAUCGCUAAAAUCUCGGUUCAGAGUGGAUCAAUUUGACUGAAAUUUUCCGCAAAUUCCCUUUACAUUAUCUAGUUUUUAACUAUUACAGUGAGAACUGCCAGCUCUUUAUCUUAUCUCCCAUAAUGUAUCUUUAAACUCAUUGAUAAAUAUUGCAGAGUGCAAAACUCUAUAGCCAGAAUUAUUGUUGAUACUAAAACAUUAAGAGGUAUGACCACGUUACAUCUGUACUUUAUAGAUUACAUUGGUUACUUAUUGUUUUAAGACUGUCCGGAAAACAGGGCGAUCACUUCUGUUGGCUAAUAUGGAGGCAGGCGACCAAAUAUUCUAACAAUGACUUUAAUUAGUGUCGAUUCUUCACUUCACUCCACAUUUUAUUUGAGCUGAACGGUCUCCAGCUCUCCACAGCAGACGGAGCAUCACCUGACAAAAUCUUGAACCAAAGCAUGAAUGAGAUUGAACUUGCAAAUAUGGAGAUACACCGUUUCAACUAGUAUCUUAGUAAGCAGGUAACUAUCCGCUGUAACCUCCCGCCCCUAACCAAAAUAUUGCAGAACAUCGCAAUUGAAACCCUGUUCUUAGAUUCUAGACCGAAAAAGUCAACAAAAUGGCCGUUGGACAUAAAGCAAGAAUUGAUGAUCUUCCAUUGAAUUUAGGUAUAAUGUGUUUUGUAUCAGAUUUUCCGCCUAUCUUCUUCAUUUUCCAAGUGCCAAGGGAAGCCUAUGUUCACUGUCAGUAUUUACGUUAAAGGCCAUUUGUAAGCCCACGUUUCUUACCACUCCCGGGAAAUCUAAUAUGUCAUUAUGUCUGUAAUUUUUAUUUCUCCUGAGGAAAAAUAUAAAUAUUUUAAUUUACCUAAAAGACUAAACGUGACCUACUGAAAUUAUAAGUAAGUUGCUGAUUUAUUAUAUUGUUUAUCUCUUAGACUUUAAUACUAUUGCUUUACUGUUUGGAUUAACUUAUUCUUAUGAGCACAAGACAUUGGCGGUCAUCAUUAUACAUAGAUCUGAUUAUACUUUCUGUGUUGGAAUUCUAGCGACCCCCUUUAGUGAUUGGUUCUCCAUGAGUAAAAGGUGUGUGCAGAUGAAAUUCAAGAGUAAUGAUUAUCUUUUGAGAAUCCAGUAACUUCUUAUCUUUGACCCGAACAAUGAAAAUUGACCUUUCAGAGAUAUUGAAGUGGAUUUAUUGAACAAAUACUACAAGUAUUGAUUUGAUUGACUGGAGAUAAAAGAUUAUUUUAUUGUAAGAGCAAUGACAAUAAACCUUUGUUACCAAUAUACCACAAGGAAACGUUGUAAUAGAAGUGAUAAACCGCUGUAAUUAAAUUUGUGCUCCAGGCCACCGUUUACAAUUUACCGGUCAAUUCUUGUAAUGUAACUUGGGAGAUUUAAUAUAUAAAGAUCAUUUAAAACGCUGACAAUUUGCUCAAGAGGCGUCAACUAAAAGCUCUUUAAAGAUAAAACCGUCGUUCUAUUUCCAUCCUAUAAUUCAACGUUAUCAUAAGAUUUACUAGUUAUUGUCACGGAGAAAAACCUUUGAUGAUUUCAUCUGAAACUGGACAUGGGUCAUCUUCGAUCAACGAUAAUUGUGAGCUUUAUAGAAGAACAAUCAUCUUCUCACCAGGGCUUUAAUCUUAUAUAAUUCAGUGGUUGUUCUGCAUAAAUUGUUUUAG